UUACCCCUAGCCUAACGUUUCAUCCUAAAAAGUCCUCUUGACCCUUUUGAGUUGAGUCAUUGUCGGUGGAGGGAGGAUUUGGUCAAGUUUAGGGAAUGGAUUGUCAUGCUAAGAUGUCGGGUAGCCUAAUCUUGUUUUCCGGCGCCUUCGCGGUGUCUCGAGACGCUAUUCUCAAAGGUGGAUAGGAUCUAGAGAUUUGACGUGGUAUGCUCGGUUGUAGGGGAAUUGAUAAUUGCUUACCCUUAGUUCACUUUGCUUGGCAUUUGAAUCCUUCACUCUAUUUAGGACAUUGCUUAGCGUGCUUGCGUUUAUUUGAUUAGUAAUAUUAGCAUUCUCUCAUACUUGUUCCAUAAUAAAUGCCCUUGUCUUGAGUUUUGUAGUUUCAUUUUUCAUUUUUCUUUCUUUUCUUCUUUCUUUUCCUUGCUUUCCUUUCUUUUCUUUUCUUUUCUUUCUUUUUCUUGGUUUGUUUUCCAUUUUAGUUCUUGCCUUGAUUCAAAUUUUUGGAAGAGUUAUGGGUGUUUCUCUUUGGAAACCCUUGCAAGAUCCCACUCGCCCUCAUGAGCGAUUGUGGGGUUCAAAGAGCUUGUUGCAUGCGCUUAAAUGCAACCGUGAUUCCUACGAAAGUGAGUUAGUGUGCAUUCUUGUAGUUCUUAUUUUCGUAAUUCUGAUUUUUAAUAAAUAAGCUCAUUCUCCACCCCGUUUCUCAUUCUAGCUUUGCUUGAGGACAAGCAAAGGGUUAGCUUGGGGGAGUUUGAUGAGCGGCAUUUAUGUCGCUCUUAGCUUAGGAUUUUAGUUCAUUGUAUUAGCAUUUUAUUAUUAUUUUUGCUUAGUUUUAUCGUUUUUAGUUCGUUUAUUGCAUUUUUGCAUUUAUCGUAACAUUUUCUCGUCUUGCGUAUAUUUUAGUCGUUUUUGCUCUAAAUAUGCCUUUUGCGCGCAUUCUCAUUGCGUAAGAGUCAUUUUGAGUAUUAACGUGUUAAUAAUGUGUCAUUAUGCUUGUCGACGAGUUAUAUGCUUUACGAUUUGUAAAAAUGUUAAACGAAUUAAUAUUUUUGAUUUUCGAUUACUAAUAAAAUGUGUUGCGAUUUUCUAACAUGCUAUACGUAGUUUCUAAUGUGCAGCGACGAGCUCCUUUGCACUGCCUUUAGGGCAGCCUUGUAGCUCAAUCUUAACAGCAGCAACAAGCAGAAUAGCAGCCACAGUAGCAGUGCACUCACAUCAAUAGCUCGAGCAGAAUAGCAGCAGCAAUAGCUUAGUAUGGCACACGAACCAAUCUGCCACUGCAGCAGCUUUGUGCUCACCUUGAGUGCCUUGAUUCAAGCUCUGUAGCAGCUACACAUUACAUCACCAACCUGAGCAGAACAUGUAGCAGAUUAGCAUGUACACACAGCCACAGCAGAAGCAAAGCAGUCGCAGCAACAACACAGCAGCUAUGCACGCUUCUCUCCCCUUGGUUGUUGAUUGUUUAAUCCUUGUUGUUGCUCACCAAAUUCCUCGAGCUUUUAAAUGCCUUUACAGCAGAAACUAAGGAGGGUUAUUAAGACAAGAACAACAUCUACAACAUCACAGAACAUUGCAGAAUAUCACAGCAGAACAAACACGCAAAACAACAAACUGAUCUGUGCGAUCGAAUGGGUCAGGCUGUGCGAUCGAGCUGCUUCUGUGCGAGCAGCCCGUAGUUCUAGUGCGAGCACACGAUUUGCAAAAAAUGGAUCAGGAACUCAGCCAUUUCUUCGUGUGUUCGCACACACCCAGAUGUGCGUUCGCACAGGUAGCACGCAGCAGGCACACAGUCAGCAGUAUAAAAGGAAACACGCAGUCAGCGCACAAGAGUGUAGAAAAAUAAGCAGCGAGCAUUAGAGUAGCGUAGCAAGGCAGCAGCGAAGAUUAGCGUAGCUUAGAUUAGAGUAUUGUUAGAUUAUAUUUUAGGUUUCAAUUUCACAAAAAUCAAACACUAGAUUUCAGUUUAGUUCAUCAAAUUCGUAGCUAUUGUUCUUCAAAUUCAGAAUUUGUUCUUCAAGGUUUUUCCCCCAAUUUUGGAGUUGAUUUCUAGCUUUGAGUCGUGAUUUGCACAGUGGCCCCCGUACUUAGGUAUUCCAGUUUUCAAUAAGCAGGUUCGUAGAGAUAACUGGCGGGAGAAGUUAUCAUGGGAAUAGUGUUAAGAGACUGUUUCAUCUUCCGUAUUUAUAAACUCUAUUUUCAUUUCUAGUCAUGACUACUAUUAUUAAUUAAACUAUAGUUAAUGAGUUUUAAACUAUUUAAUGCUUUGGUUUUGGGCCUUAAUGGUUCCAGUUUAUGAGAUGAUCAUUAACUAUUUAUUAUGUUUUGAAAGUUAGUUAUUUCCGCUGCGUGAUUCUGGUAAAUAGCCUUAGCCGUUAUCACGGUGGCGGUAAUAUCUUGGUAAUUCUUUUAUACUAGUCGGAAAAAGGGAAUUAUAAAUAUAAGGAAUUAUCAGGGUGUUACACAGUGUGCAUGGGCCAUUGCUGCUGCGCCUAGCACGCGGGCCAGCAGUGCUGCGCCUGCUGCCUUGGGCCAGCGCGCGUGGCUGCGUCCAAAGCAAGCUGGUCAGCUUGUUUGCUAUGCAAGCAAAGCAGCCGAACAACCCUAGGGGUUUUAGGGUUUUGGUUUUUGGUAUAUUCCUAAAACUUUCCUAAAACGUUCUAGGGUUUUGGCUCCUAGGGUUUUCCUAUUUCCUAUAAAUACAUGGCCUAUAUAUGGUCAUGAAUAAAACGAAUCAAUUGAGUCACAAUUCAAUACUAUUUUCCUAUCACUUAAAGUGAGAUCCCGAAACCAUAAACCUUAUAUUAUAUCCUUGUUGGUACGAUUUAAGGCGGAUCCGAACGUGUUGUGGACUUUCUACGGAGGGACGACGUUUGGCGUUCUAACUUGUUCUUGUUCGGUUCGGGAACAGCUAGGGAAGGCAUGCAUCACAAAGUGUGUUCACUAAAUUACGCUAAAUGAUUAUGUGCAUUUAACUUGGAUUCUGGCAUGGUUUUUCCGCAUGACAUUGGAUUGUUCAUAAUCUAACAGUGGUAUCACGAUCCUCUAAUUAAUUUCAUAAUCUUUUAAAUUAAUAUGGAUUAAUAUUAUAAAUUUGCAAAGAAUUAAAGGGGUGAAUUAAUUUGGUAUAAUUAAUUGAAAAUUCAUGCGAUUAAUAAUUAAUAUGUUCGCAGGAUUUUCGAUAGUUUUGUCAAUAA